GCCGCGUUAGCUCAGUCGGUAGAGCGGCUGUCUUGUAAACAGCAGGUCAUCGGUUCGAACCCGAUACGCGGCUCCA
rnacentral:tRNA from 1 species